CAAAGAUUAAGCCAUGCAUGUCUAAGUAUAAGCAAGUCUAUACAGUGAAACUGCGAAUGGCUCAUUAUAUCAGUUAUAAUUUAUUUGACUGUACCCGCUUUACUACUUGGAUAUCCGUGGUAAUUCUAGAGCUAAUACAUGCGCGACAGGCCCGACUUUUCGGAAGGGCUGCAUUUAUUAGAUAUAAGGCCGGCUUGCCCUCUUCGGGGGGCAACAUUGGUGAAUCAUAAUAACUUGCGAAUCGUUGGCCGUACGGCUACGAUGGGUCAUUCAAAUUUCUGCCCUAUCAGCUUUCGAUGGUACGGUAGUGGCCUACCAUGGCUUUAACGGGUAACGGGGAAUCAGGGUUUGAUUCCGGAGAGGGAGCCUGAGAAACGGCUACCACUUCUAAGGAAGGCAGCAGGCGCGCAAAUUACCCAAUGCUAACACAGUGAGGUAGUGACAAUAAAUAACAACCCAGGGCCCUUUGGGUCUUGGGAUUGCAAUGAGUCAAUUUAAACACCUUAACGAGGAACAAUUGGAGGGCAAGUCUGGUGCCAGCAGCCGCGGUAAUUCCAGCUCCAAUAGUGUAUAUUAAAGUUGCUGCAGUUAAAAAGCUCGUAGUCGGAAUUUGGAUUGAGGGAUAUGGGCCGCCUCGUAAGGGGUUGUGCCCACAAUAUCUCUCGUCCAGUUUUUCUAGGCACUGCCUUCUGGUCAUUUAUUUGGUCUGGCCAUCCGUCUCCAGACUUUUACCUUGAGAAAAUUAAGUGUUCAAAGCAGGCAACCGCUUGAAUAUGUUAGCAUGGAAUAAUGGAAUAGGACUCUGGUCUUGUUUUGUUGGUUUAACGGGGCUCCGGUAAUGAUUAAUAGGAACAGUUGGGGGCAUUUGAAUUGAGUGGUUAGAGGUGAAAUUCUUGGAUCCAUUCAAGUCAAACUACUGCGAAAGCAUUUGUCCAGCAUGUCUCCAUUGAUCAAGAACGAAAGUCAGGGGAUCGAAGACGAUUAGAUACCGUCGUAGUCUUGACCAUAAACUAUGCCGACUGGGGAUGGGACCGACUAUUUAGAGCGGCUCUGGACCCUGGAGGAGAAAUCAAAGUUUUUGGGUUCCGGGGGGAGUAUGGUCGCAAGGCUGAAACUUAAAGGAAUUGACGGAAGGGCACCACCAGAAAUGGAGCCUGCGGCUUAAUUUGACUCAACACGGGGAAACUCACCAGGUCCAGACAUAGUGAGGAUUGACAGAUUGACAGCUCUUUCUUGAUUCUAUGGGUGGUGGUGCUGGCCGUUCUUAGUUCGUGGAUUCAUUUGUCUGGUUAAUUCCGAUAACGAACGAGACCUUAACCUGCUAAAUAGACUGGCUAGUCUUUUGACUGGUGCAGCCUUCUUAGAGGGACUGCUGGUUUCAAGCCAGCGGAAGUUUUAGGCAAUAACAGGUCUGUGAUGCCCUUAGAUGUUCUGGGCCGCACGCGCGCUACACUGAUGAGGUCAGCGAGUAGCCUUUUUGGCGUUCCUGUUCCGAUAGGAUCGGGUAAUUUGUAAACCUCAUCGUGCUGGGGAUUGUCCUUUGCAACUUUCGGACAUGAACGAGGAAUUUCUAGUAAUCGCAAGUCAUCAGCUUGCGAUGAUUACGUCCCUGCCCUUUGUACACACCGCCCGUCGCUACUACCGAUUGAAUGGCUUAGUGAGUCCUCCGGAUUUGGCCAGCACGCCCUCACCGGCUGCCGGCUAGAGAAAGCUGGGCAAACUUGGUCAUUUAGAGGAAGUAAAAGUCGUAACA
rnacentral:rRNA from 1 species